GACGUAGGGCGCGAGCGUUGUCCGGAUUUAUUGGGCGUAAAGAGCUCGUAGGCGGCUUGUCGCGUCGACUGUGAAAUCCCGCGGCUCAACUGCGGGUCUGCAGUCGAUACGGGCAGGCUAGAGUUCGGUAGGGGAGACUGGAAUUCCUGGUGUAGCGGUGAAAUGCGCAGAUAUCAGGAGGAACACCGGUGGCGAAGGCGGGUCUCUGGGCCGUAACUGACGCUGAGGAGCGAAAGCGUGGGGAGCGAACAGG
rnacentral:rRNA from 1 species